UCUCAGUUCGGAUUGGAGUCUGCAACUCGACUCCAUGAAGCUGGAUUCGCUAGUAAUCGCGCAUCAGCCAUGGCGCGGUGAAUACGUUCCCGGGCCUUGUACACACCGCCCGUCAAGCCAUGGGAGUCGGGAGUGCCUGAAGUUCGUGACCGUAUAGGAGCGACCUAGGGCAAGACUGAUGACUGGGGCUAAGUCGUAACAAGGUAGC
rnacentral:rRNA from 1 species